rnacentral:rRNA from 1 species
GCAAGUCGAGCGGAAACGAUGGGAGCUUGCUCCCAGGCGUCGAGCGGCGGACGGGUGAGUAACGCGUAGGAAUCUACCCAGUAGUGGGGGAUAGCCCGGGGAAACUCGGAUUAAUACCGCAUACGCCCUACGGGGGAAAGGCCGGGAUCUUCGGACCGGUCGCUAUUGGAUGAGCCUGCGUUGGAUUAGCUAGUUGGUGUGGUAAUUGCAUACCAAGGCGACGAUCAGUAGCUGGUCUGAGAGGAUGGAC